rnacentral:rRNA from 1 species
CGCGUAGGCGGCCUGUCAAGUCAACUGUGAAAUCUCCGGGCUUAACUCGGAACGGUCAGUUGAUACUGUCAGGCUAGAGUGCAGAAGGGGCAAUCGGAAUUCUUGGUGUAGCGGUGAAAUGCGUAGAUAUCAAGAGGAACACCUGAGGUGAAGACGGGUUGCUGGGCUGACACUGACGCUGAGGCGCGAAAGCCAGGGAGCAAACG